GUCAGCCGAUCUUAAAAGUCUAGCUUUUAAGAUCGGUCAUGCCAAUAGCCGAUCUUAAAAGCUAGACUUUUAAGAUCGGUUAUG
rnacentral:miRNA from 1 species